AACGAACGCUGGCGGCAGGCUUAACACAUGCAAGUCGAGCGCCCCGCAAGGGGAGCGGCAGACGGGUGAGUAACGCGUGGGAAUCUACCCAUCUCUACGGAAUAACGCAUGGAAACGUGUGCUAACACCGUAUACGUCCUUCGGGAGAAAGAUUUAUCGGAGAUGGAUGAGCCCGCGUUGGAUUAGCUAGUUGGUGGGGUAAAGGCCUACCAAGGCGACGAUCCAUAGCUGGUCUGAGAGGAUGAUCAGCCACCCUGGGACUGAGACACGGCCCAGACUCCUACGGGAGGCAGCAGUGGGUAAUAUUGGACAAUGGGCGCAAGCCUGAUCCAGCCAUGCCGCGUGAGUGAUGAAGGCCCUAGGGUUGUAAAGCUCUUUCACCGUUGAAGAUAAUGACGGUAACCGGAGAAGAAGCCCCGGCUAACUUCGUGCCAGCCGCCGCCGUAACAC
rnacentral:rRNA from 1 species